GUGGGGAAUAUUGGACAAUGGGCGAAAGCCUGAUCCAGCCAUGCCGCGUGUGUGAAGAAGGUCUUCGGAUUGUAAAGCACUUUAAGUUGGGAGGAAGGGCAGUAAGUUAAUACCUUGCUGUUUUGACGUUACCGACAGAAUAAGCACCGGCUAACUUCGUGCCAGCAGCCGCGGUAAUACGAAGGGUGCAAGCGUUAAUCGGAAUUACUGGGCUUAAAGCGCGCGUAGGUGGUUUUGUAAGUUGGAGGUGAAAUCCCCGGGCUCAACCUGGGAACUGCCUCCAAAACUGCAUGACUAGAGUACGGUAGAGGGUAGUGGAAUUUCCUGUGUAGCGGUGAAAUGCGUAGAUAUAGGAAGGAACACCAGUGGCGAAGGCGACUACCUGGACUGAUACUGACACUGAGGUGCGAAAGCGUGGGGAGCAAACAGGAUUAGAUACCCGAGUAGUCC
rnacentral:rRNA from 1 species